rnacentral:rRNA from 1 species
AUUGAACGCUGGCGGCAGGCCUAACACAUGCAAGUCGAGCGAGUGGCGGACGGGUGAGUAAUGUCUGGGAAAAUGCCCGAUGGAGGGGGAUAACUACUGGAAACGGUGGCUAAUACCGCAUACACUCGGAUGUGCCCAUAUGGGAUUAGCUAGUGGGUGGGGUAAUGGCGCACCUAGGCGACGAUCCCUAGCUGGUCUGAGAGGAUGACCAGCCACACUGGAACUGAGACACGGCCCAGACUCCUACGGGAGGCAGCAGUGGGGAAUAUUGCACAAUGGGCGCAAGCCUGAUGCAGCCAUGCCGCGUGUAUGAAGAAGGCCUUAGGGUUGUAAAGUACUUUCAGUGAGGAGGCGUUACCCGCAGAAGAAGCACCGGCUAACUCCGUGCCAGCAGCCGCGGUAAUAC